GCCUAUUUAUGAUCUCACCACCCACAGUGUGUAAAUUAAGGGACGGAUAGACGGACGAAUGAACGGACAUGCAUUUAUAAUGGGCCAGACUGGCUUCGAGACCUCCUAAUGCAAGGACAUAAUUUUUUAGCCUAAUAAAUGGAAAGCAGCUUCCCCUCUGCAGCAAAUGCUGUCUCAGCAGUCGGUGCAGCACACGAUGCAUUCAUCUCUCCGGGGGACAGCGCCAAGGAUAAUAUUUUGGCAGAUUCUGACAGAUCGUUGACUGGGAGCCCAACACGGUGUCCAGGCAUGAAAUGUGCCCAGCUCCUGUGGCCCCGCCGUCUGUCAGCGUGUCUCAGCUUGGAACUGACGCUCUAAUGCCAGAAGACAGUAACAUUUCGAUGGUGCAGUAAAGACCCGUCAGCAUCACGUAGGCAGAUGACAUCCACGGGACGGCUCACGGGGUGUCCUCCGCCUCUUCCUCCGGAACGCGGCCUCCGUGCAGGCAGCAUCCCCAGGGCUGGACGCAU